ensembl:scaRNA small Cajal body-specific RNA 13
AACGCAGCCUUGUGAGUUUCCCCCCCUUGCAGUCAUCGUUGUUUGGGGGCACAACAAGGCUGCGCAAAGCAACACGCGGGAUCAAAGGCGUGACUCCUCGAGCCUCGGGAGCUCCACGUGCGAUGUCCCUCGGACAGCGAUCCUGCCUUCCACGGUGAUGAUGGCGUCGCUCCGUAGCCGUCAUCUUUCUUGAGGCAGGUAGAGGAAAAGCCUGGCAGCCAGAUAUUGUUUGAUACGGGAGAGGCUCGUCUUAUCGGACACUGUCAGCUGUCACAUUA